rnacentral:rRNA from 1 species
UACGGAGGGAGCUAGCGUUUGUUCGGAAUUACUGGGCGUAAAGCGUGCGUAGGCGGUUAUUCAAGUCAGAGGUGAAAGCCCGGGGCUCAACCCCGGAACGGCCUUUGAAACUAGGUAACUAGAAUCUUGGAGAGGUUAGUGGAAUUCCGAGUGUAGAGGUGAAAUUCGUAGAUAUUCGGAAGAACACCAGUGGCGAAGGCGACUAACUGGACAAGUAUUGACGCUGAGGUACGAAAGCGUGGGGAGCAAACAGG